UACAGAGGGGGCAAGCGUUGUUCGGAAUUACUGGGCGUAAAGGGCGCGUAGGCGGCCUGUUAAGUCGAACGUGAAAUCCCUGGGCUCAACCCAGGAACUGCGUCCGAUACUGGCAGGCUUGAAUUCGGGAGAGGGAUGCGGAAUUCCAGGUGUAGCGGUGAAAUGCGUAGAUAUCUGGAGGAACACCGGUGGCGAAGGCGGCAUCCUGGACCGGUAUUGACGCUGAGGCGCGAAAGCUAGGGGAGCAAACGGG
rnacentral:rRNA from 1 species